CCCUUAGAUGUUCUGGGCCGCACCCGCGCUACACUGAAGGAGGCAGCGUGUACUCCUGGAUCGAAAGAUUUGGGUAACCCGCGAAUCUCCUUCGUGCUAGGGAUUGAGGUUUGCAAUUAUCCUUCAUGAACGAGGAAUUCCCAGUAAGUGCAAGUCAUAAGCUUGCGCUGACUACGUCCCUGCCCUUUGUACACACCGCCCGUCGCUACUACCGAUUGAAUGAUUUAGUGAGGAUUUCGGACUGGGACUGAUGCGGCUUUCGGGCUGCGUCGGUAUUCUGGAAAGAUGUCCAAACUGUAUCAUUUAGAGGAAGUAAAAGUCGUAACA
rnacentral:rRNA from 1 species